rnacentral:misc_RNA from 1 species
CCAAACUUGGUCAUUUAGAGGAAGUAAAAGUCGUAACAAGGUCUCCGUAGGUGAACCUGCGGAGGGAUCAUUACCGAGUGGAGGGCGCUCCGGCGCCCGACCUCCCAACCCUUUGAUUUGAUCAAGACCGCAUUCUGCCUCGGGGGUGACCCGGCCCUGCCCCUUCCGGGGGCGACCCGGUCCUCCCGGCGGCGACCAACCCAAACCCUGCAUCAAUUGUCGUCGGAGUUUCAUUGAGAAAUUUCAAUCAAAACUUUCAACAACGGAUCUCUUGGUUCUGGCAUCGAUGAAGAACGCAGC